GACGAACGCUGGCGGCGUGCUUAAUACAUGCAAGUCGAACGGAAAGGCCCUGCUUUUGUUCGGUGCUCGAGUGGCGAACGGGUGAGUAACACGUGAGUAACCUGCCCUUGACUUUGGGAUAACUUCAGGAAACUGGGGCUAAUACCGGAUAGGAGCUCCUGCUGCAUGGUGUGGGUUGGAAAGUUUCGGCGGUUGGGGAUCGACUCGCGGCUUAUCAGCUUGUUGGUGGGGUAGUGGCUUACCAAGGCUUUGACGGGUAGCCGGCCUGGGAGGGUGACCGGCCACAUGGGGCCUGAGGUAGGGCCCAGACGGCAACGUGAGGCAGCGGUGGGGAAUAUGGCGCACUAGGCCGAAGGCUGAGGCAACGUCGCCGGGUGCGGAAUGACUGCUUUCGGGGGAUAAACAGCUUUCGCCUGUAACGAAGCGUGAGUGACGGUAACGGGUAAAGAAGCAACGGCUAACUACGUG
rnacentral:rRNA from 1 species